CGCGCGCGUCAGAGCCAAGUGGAAUGAUUCCAGAUUGCUUCACGUAUAUGAAGCGGGGGGGAAGCGCCCGUCACCCCAACCCCCUACCCCAACCUUUUGCAGCCUGGACAAGUGGUCUGUAAUGCAGCUUGGCGCAAAAUAAAGUCUGAACAAAACUAGACUGUGAGACUAGCACGUCCUAGAGUGGAAUUGACUGAGGUUAACGCAGAGUCUGUAAAGACUCUACAGACUCGGAUCAUUUGCAAGCAAACUAAAAUUCCCUUUUUUAAAAAAGAAAAAAAAUCAUUAAUUGGGUUCCGAUCUAAAAUACUGCUCUUAAAAUGCGCUCACAUGUUGAAGACUGAGAUUGCAAGUUCUCGAGUAAACAUCUGGUGAAGACAUUCCAGGAACACAUCUGAAAGGAAGAAAGGAACUCUCAAGGUGACUUCAUCCAUGGCGGCUGUGUGGCAGCGAGCUACUUGCGCAUCUCUUCUGUUCCGUGAGGUCAUGUUGGCAGCUUGAAAUUGAUCAAGUGGGAAGCAUUUACAUCACAGAAAUUGUUCACCUUGUGCCCAACCUUCUGUCUCCCUGAGUCAGACCUGCAGACGAUUGCAUGCCACCAGCUGUCUUCACUCCUGAGAACAUGACACAAAGGAAUGCUCCCUGUCAAGUUCUUCAUUAUCCUUCUGAUGAAUUUCCCCUGGUUUAAACAAGUUGGUGGUAGACAGACCUUUCUCGCAUUUUCACAGACGUGCCAGGAGGAAACCCAGCGUCUCUCAGUUUCCUUUAAAUAUAUGAGAUGUUUAAAGGAGAUGAUAAAAAUGCUGCAACCCAGAUAAUGAUCACCUUACUCUUCAAAAAUACUGCCCAAGUUCUUUGUUCAAGAUGCCAAGAACCUGGAUACCCUCCACUGGUAACAAAUAUGACUUUGUUUUUAGCAAGCAACUUUGCAGUGUAAUUAAGUUAAGGAUCUUGAGAUGAGAUCAUCUUGGAAUAUCUGGGUGGGCCCUAAAUCCAAUGACAAGUGUCCUCAUAGGAAGGGAAGAUACACACAGAGGAGAAGGUGGUGUGAAGAUGGAAGCCAAGACUGUUGAUACCAGUUGGAGAGCACCAAGAACUACCCGCAGCCACUGAAAGCUAGGAGAGAGGCAUAGGACUGUCUCCUUCAGACCCUCCAGAAAGACCAAACCUGCCCGUGCCUUGAUUUCAGACUUUUGGCCUCCCACAUUGUGAGAGAAUAAAAUUUUGUUUUUGAAGCCAU
rnacentral:lncRNA from 1 species